GUGUUUGAUUUGGCAGCACAUAUACUAAAAUUGGAACGAUGUAGAAAAGAUUAGUAUGGUCCCUGUGCAAGAAUGACACACAAAUUCAUGAAAAUUUUUAAUGCAUU
ensembl:snRNA U6 U6 spliceosomal RNA